CUCUCAUCAAGGAGGCCUUGAUCCUUGACCAAGGGUUCCCAUCGUCACAUCUCGGACCUGGCUGAAAUGACCUCUAAUUCAGUGGAGGGUUAAGCCUUCGAGAGUUGAGUUGUUUAACACAGAAUUGUAGGGAAGAAAAAAAUUUUAUUUAUAAAGUGUUCCUAUUGAUAAUACAUCCAGAGAUUCUCGACGUUCCAGGUUUGAGAAAUCUCUGUAUCGUCCAGGCUCUCGAUCUUGUAUGCUCC
rnacentral:lncRNA from 1 species